rnacentral:lncRNA from 1 species
AUUUUGCUGGUAGAGAUGCCAUCUGGAGACCGCAGCGCUCCUCUUUCCUCGGCCUAGGCUGCUGUGGGGCGGGGGAUGGGGCCUGGGGCCUGGGCCAGGUAGGCGGGCGUGAGCCGGGGGCGAGCGGCGGUGCGGCCUGGUGGCCCCGACGUUAGCGGCGCAUGUGUUAAAACCAGGCACAGCAUUAAGGCAUGGUAGUGACAACACGUGUCUAGCACAACCCCUCCUGAAGGUGGCUCCCCAUGGACUCUGCAAGCCAUCUAUUCUCAACAUAUUGUACCAUCUUGGAGCUGAUCACACUGAGGAAGUGCACAGAACAAGGGCAGGAGCAGGUGCUGGAUCCCACAGAGGUAGGCAGCCCUUCUCUGUGUAUGGACCUCAGUGCCUGUCAGGGCAUCGGGAUGGCCCUCUUGAAUGAAUUAGGGAGAUCCCUGACUGGUGGUAUUGAGUCAGGGUGGCAGUGGACACUGGCUGUGUCUGGCAGCCAAAUGGGGCAACGCAGAGUGUAUACCACUGCCACCUGCUCAAGACAUCCUUCCACACUAAUUCUUUUGUGGUUCCCCUGCCAGACUUUUUCUACCCUCCUUUUCCACUCCAACCUUCCUUGGAACUUUGAGUGGAAUCAAAGGAGGAGGCACUGCAUGUGUAGCUGCCCAAAGUCUAGAUGUCACUGUUCUCUGCUGUCACCCAAAAGGAGUGAACAGCACCCAGACAGGAGAUGGCCCAAGGCUUACAUGUGUAUAACGUGCCACUGUCUCAGGGACUGACUCUCAGUGAACCCUGAUGUCUUGAUCCACUCAGCACACCACCAUUCAGUAUUGAAAACUGGGGUUGAGUGAGUCCCUUGUACAUGGCCAGGACCUGAAUCCGCAGGUGGUCAAGUCUCUCUGGGCUGCUAAGGUAAGAACUCACCUCAGCUUUGGUGCCUCUGGGGCUGAGAAUUCAGCCCUAGAAAAGUCCAGAGAGAAGUGG